CAAUACUUGCUAGCUCCUCCCUAGCAGACUAGCUGAAAGCCUUCUUUAUGAAGACAUCUAGCCAUUUUAAUCAUGAACUAUAUCUCAAUUAAUGCAGUUUCCGUAUGAAGGCUUGAAUGGUCUGCUCAAUCUGAUAAUGGUGAAAUUUUGGUGAAUCACUACUUGACAUGUGGUCGCAGUAAUGAUAUCAUUAUUACUAUCAGGCAUUUAACACAAGAUAGUUAUAGGAUUCACAGCUGUGCUAGCAGAGCAUUUUUGCAGUGCCAAAUUAUAUUUGGCAAGUGCACUUCAUGCCCAGGGUAAUUAACGAGUGUGAGAAGAAAUAUGUUGAUUUUGUAGGAAUAGGGCAUUAUCAACCCGUGAUUUAAGUAUCGUACUGGUAAUGUACCGAUAGCGAUAUGCCCCUUGGUUGAAUGCCUAAAAAAUUUAAUAGAGAGGUGCUUCUAUGGUAUUAUGUGAUUGACGCACGCCUUGAUGACCUAAAGUAAAAAUUUAUAGAAUGAGAUUUACUAUGUUGUAUGACUCAAAAUAUUACACAAUAAAAAGGGCUCUAAAAAACAAGUUGAGUGAAACAGGAACAUGAGAAGGAAGAGAUGGGUGAUGGUGUAUGUUGUUAUUUUAGCAAUUGGUGAUGAUUGAAU
rnacentral:lncRNA from 1 species